GAUGAACGCUGGCGGCGUGCCUAAUACAUGCAAGUCGAGCGAACAGACGAGGAGCUUGUUCCUCUGACGUUAGCGGCGGACGGGUGAGUAACACGUGGAUAACCUACCUAUAAGACUGGGAUAACUUCGGGAAACCGGAGCUAAUACCGGAUAAUAUAUUGAACCGCAUGGUUCAAUAGUGAAAGACGGUUUUGCUGUCACUUAUAGAUGGAUCCGCGCCGCAUUAGCUAGUUGGUAAGGUAACGGCUUACCAAGGCAACGAUGCGUAGCCGACCUGAGAGGGUGAUCGGCCACACUGGAACUGAGACACGGUCCAGACUCCUACGGGAGGCAGCAGUAGGGAAUCUUCCGCAAAGGGCGAAAGCCUGACGGAGCAACGCCGCGUGAGUGAUGAAGGUCUUCGGAUCGUAAAACUCUGUUAUUAGGGAAGAACAAAUGUGUAAGUAACUAUGCACGUCUUGACGGUACCUAAUCAGAAAGCCACGGCUAACUACGUG
rnacentral:rRNA from 1 species